rnacentral:rRNA from 1 species
GGCACGCGAGCUGGGUUUAGAACGUCGUGAGACAGUUCGGUCCCUAUCUGCCGUGGACGUUGGAGAUUUGAGGAAAGCUGCUCCUAGUACGAGAGGACCGGAGUGGACGAACCGCUGGUGUUCGGGUUGUGUCGCCAGACGCAUUGCCCGGUAGCUAUGUUCGGAUAGGAUAACCGCUGAAAGCAUCUAAGCGGGAAGCCCCUUCCAAGAUGAGAUCUCCCUGGACCCUUGAGGUCCCUGAAGAGCCGUUCAAGACCAGGACGUUGAUAGGUCGGGUGUGUAAGCGCUGCGAGGCGUUGAGCUAACCGAUACUAAUUGCUCGUGAGGCUUG